rnacentral:rRNA from 1 species
CUGGAAAUCAAAUCGCCCCGAACCCUAUCCCCCACCCCCCCUUUCCGUUUCUCUCCCACGGCGGCGACCAGCGAGCGAGCGAGGCGGCGGCGACCAGCACAUGCCGCAGCCGAGCAAGAUGACGGCGCAGGCGUCCCCGCGACGGCGACAGCGCACUUCGCUAGCUCCGGCGCGGCGGCGAGCACCCGACGAAUACAAGCGUGCGAGGAGGCAUGGCCAUCGGCCGGUGCGGCGGACGGCGAGUUCGGACCCGAGCUCACUCGCAGAUGUUGGAUGGUGCCCAUGGCCGUGCCGUACGACAACGAUGAGCGCCACAGCCCUGAG